rnacentral:rRNA from 1 species
AAGAUGGGGGGACCAUCCUCCAAGGCUAAAUACUCGUGAUCGACCGAUAGUGAACCAGUACUGUGAAGGAAAGGCGAAAAGAACCCCGGGAGGGGAGUGAAAUAGAACCUGAAACCGCAUACAUACAAACAGUAGGAGCCCCUGCAGUGGGGUGACUGCGUACCUUUUGCAUAAUGGGUCAGCGACUUACGUUUUGUGGCGAGCUUAACCGAGUAGGGGAGGCGUAGCGAAAGCGAGUUCGAAUAGAGCGAAGAGUCUCAAGGCGUAGACCCGAAACCAGAUGAGCUAUCCAUGGCCAGGUUGAAGGUGUGGUAACACACACUGGAGGACCGAACCGACUAGUGUUGCAAAAUUAGCGGAUGAGCUGUGGAUAGGGGUGAAAGGCUUAACAAAUCUGGAGAUAGCUGGUUCUCCCCGAAAACUAUUGAGGUAGUGCCUCGUGUAUUGCUCCAGGGGGUAGAGCACUGUUAUGGCUAGGGGGACAUGGCGUCUUACCAAACCAUGGCAAACUCCGAAUACUUGGAAGUAAGAGCACGGGAGACAGAGCACCGGGUGCUAACGUCCGGACUCAAGAGGGAAACAACCCAGACCGCCGUUUAAGGUCCCAAAUAUUGACUAAGUGGAAAACGAAGUGUGAAGGCUAAGACAGUCAGGAAGUUGGCUUAGAAGCAGCCAUCCUUCAAAGAAAGCGUAAUAGCUCACUGAUCGAGUCCUCAUGCGCGGAAGAUGUAACGGGGCUAAGUCAAUAACCGAAAGCGCGGAUUUGCAUGAAAGUGCAAGUGGUAGGGGAGCGUUCUGUAAGCCUGCGAAGGUGGUUCGAGAGGACUGCUGGAGGUAUCAGAAGUGCGAAUGCUGACAUGAGUAACGUUAAAGCGGGUGAAAAGCCCGCUCGCCGUAAGCCCAAGGUUUCCUGCUCUACGUUCAUCGGAGCAGGGUGAGUCGGCCCCUAAGGCCAGGCUGAGAAGCGUAGUCGAUGGGAAGCAGAUUAAUAUUUCUGCACCAUGUGCAAGUGCGAUGGGGGGACGGAGUGCGAAAGAUCAUCCGGGUGUUGGAUGUCCCGGUUUGUGAGUGUAGAAGGCCGACAGGCAAAUCCGUCGGCGGAUCUUCGAGACAAAGCAUCGAGGUUCUACGGAACCGAAGUGAUCGGAAGUGCUUCCAGGAAAAGCCUCUAAGCUUCAGCUUGCAUAUGACCGUACCGUAAACCGACACUGGUGGGCGAGUUGAAUAUACUCAGGCGCUUGAGAGAACUCGGGAGAAGGAACUCGGCAAAUUGACACCGUAACUUCGGGAUAAGGUGUGCCUUUGUAGCGUGAAGAGAGAAACACUCGGAGCGUGAAGAGGCCUCAGAGAAUCGGUGGCUGCAACUGUUUAUUAAAAACACAGCACUCUGCAAAGACGAAAGUCGACGUAUAGGGUGUGAUGCCUGCCCGGUGCUGGAAGAUUAAGUGAUGGGGUGAGAGCUCCUGAUCGAAGUCCCAGUAAACGGCGGCCGUAACUAUAACGGUCCUAAGGUAGCGAAAUUCCUUGUCGGGUAAGUUCCGACCUGCACGAAUGGCAUAAUGAUGGCCACACUGUCUCCUCCCGAGACUCAGUGAAGUUGAAAUGUUUGUGAUGAUGCAAUCUCCCCGCGGCUAGACGGAAAGACCCCAUGAACCUUUACUGUAGCUUUGCAUUGGACUUUGAACCGAUUUGUGUAGGAUAGGCGGGAGGCAGAGAAAGCGCAACGCCAGUUGUGCCGGAGCCGACGUUGAAAUACCGCCCUGAUUUGUUUGAGGUUCUAACCGCGACCCGUAAGCCGGGUCCGGGACCGUGCAUGGCAGGCAGUUUGACUGGGGCGGUCUCCUCCUAAAGGGUAACGGAGGAGUACAAAGGUACGCUAGGUACGGUCGGAAAUCGUGCUGAUAGUGCAAAGGCAAAAGCGUGCUUGACUGCGAGACCGACAAGUCGAGCAGAUGCGAAAGCAGGUCUUAGUGAUCCGGUGGCUCUGUAUGGAAGGGCCAUCGCUCAACGGAUAAAAGGUACUCUGGGGAUAACAGGCUGAUACCGCCCAAGAGUUCAUAUCGACGGCGGUGUUUGGCACCUCGAUGUCGGCUCAUC